rnacentral:rRNA from 1 species
GGCUCAGAGUAGAACGCGUGGCGGCAGGACCUAACACAUGCAAGUCGAACGGCAGCACAGUGGAGCUUGCUCCAGUGGGUGGCGAGUGGCGGACGGGUGAGGAUACAUCGGAAUCUGCCCAGUCGUGGGGGAUAACAUAGGGAAACUUAUGCUAAUACCGCAUACGACCUACGGGUGAAAGCGGGGGAUCGCAAGACCUCGCGCGAUUGGAUGAGCCGAUGUCCGAUUAGCUAGUUGGCGGGGUAAUGGCCCACCAAGGCGACGAUCGGUAGCUGGUCUGAGAGGAUGAUCAGCCACACUGGAACUGAGACACGGUCCAGACUCCUACGGGAGGCAGCAGUGGGGAAUAUUGGACAAUGGGCGCAAGCCUGAUCCAGCCAUGCCGCGUGGGUGAAGAAGGCCUUCGGGUUGUAAAGCCCUUUUGUCCGGAAAGAAACGCCUCGGAUUAAUACUCUGGGGUAAUGACGGUACCGGAAGAAUAAGCACCGGCUAACUUCGUG